GCAAGGGUAGUCUCUUGACCAGGGCACGGUCUUCUUAGACAUGCCCUUAUCUCUGGAGGAGACUGCAGUCAUCGGAAUGCCCAGGCUCCCAGGAAGCCCCCUUUCUACAGAGCCUCGAGGAAUUGGGCACCCCUCUGGGAGCUCAGCAGCAGGAGCAGCAGCAGGGGCAGGAGCAGCAGCGUGGCCAACCCUUUCACCGGGGUCAGAGUUUCUGCUAUCCAUCUGCUGCCUCUUCGGUUCCCUCGGUCACUGGCAUGCUGUCCAAGGCUGUGUCCAUGAGUGAUAUCAAUCUCCUUUCGGACUGCUCAGAUCCAAAUGGUAACUCACCUCAGUCCUAUGUCACAGACCUCAGCAAAUGGUGAGUUUGGGGGAUCCUGAAAGCCCACAACAGGCCUGGAUGGAGGAGUGAUGGGUGUGGGCUUUGUAGCCCGAUGACUCCCUGCUUCUUCAAACACUGUGGUUCCCCCCCCCCCAUGCUUCUGAGGAGAG
rnacentral:lncRNA from 1 species